rnacentral:rRNA from 1 species
GUGCACGCUGGCGGUCGGCCUCACACCUGCCAGUCGAACGGCAGCACAGUAAGAGCUUGCUCUUACGGGUGGCGAGUGGCGGACGGGUGAGGAAUACAUCGGAAUCUACUUUUUCGUGGGGGAUAACGUAGGGAAACUUACGCUAAUACCGCAUACGACCUACGGGUGAAAGCAGGGGAUCUUCGGACCUUGCGCGAUUGAAUGAGCCGAUGUCGGAUUAGCUAGUUGGCGGGGUAAAGGCCCACCAAGGCGACGAUCCGUAGCUGGUCUGAGAGGAUGAUCAGCCACACUGGAACUGAGACACGGUCCAGACUCCUACGGGAGGCAGCAGUGGGGAAUAUUGGACAAUGGGCGCAAGCCUGAUCCAGCCAUACCGCGUGGGUGAAGAAGGCCUUCGGGUUGUAAAGCCCUUUUGUUGGGAAAGAAAAGCAGCAGGUUAAUACCCCGCUGUUCUGACGGUACCCAAAGAAUAAGCACCGGCUAACUUCGUG